GGAGGCGUCGGAUAGUGGUUUAUUCCACCACCUUGGAAAGGUGGCAUACCGAAAGGUAUCGUGAGUUCAAAUCUCACCGCCUCCG
rnacentral:tRNA from 1 species